rnacentral:rRNA from 1 species
GUCCUACGGGGGGUAGCAGUGAGGAAUAUUGGUCAAUGGCCGCAGGGCUGAACCAGCCAAGUCGCGUGAGGGAUGACGGUCCUAUGGAUUGUAAACCUCUUUUGUCAGGGAGCAAAGGGCGCCACGUGUGGCGUUUUGCGAGUACCUGAAGAAAAAGCAUCGGCUAACUCCGUGCCAGCAGCCGCGGUAAUACGGAGGAUGCGAGCGUUGUCCGGAUUUAUUGGGUUUAAAGGGUGCGCAGGCGGUCUGUUAAGUCAGCGGUCAAAGCCCGGGGCUCAACCCCGGCCCGCCGUUGAAACUGGCAG